AAAACAUUUUAAUCUGCAAACCCUAGAGCGGAGCGGAGUCUUUACAAACAAGCUUCUCUCUCUGGCACAGACAGAAGAAAGAAAUCUGGAGAGAGAGAAAGAUGGCGGAGCACUUGGCGUCGAUAUUCGGAACGGAGAAGGACAGGGUGAACUGCCCCUUCUACUUCAAGAUCGGCGCGUGCAGGCACGGCGACCGCUGCUCGCGUCUGCACACGAAGCCCAGCAUCAGCCCCACUCUGCUGCUCUCCAACAUGUACCAACGCCCCGAUAUGAUCACCCCCGGCGUCGACCCCCAGGGCCAGCCCAUCGAUCCCAAGAAGAUCCAAUCCCAUUUCGAGGAUUUCUACGAAGAUUUGUUUCAGGAGCUGAGCAAAUAUGGUGAUAUCCAGAGCCUGAACAUAUGUGAUAAUUUGGCUGACCACAUGGUUGGUAAUGUUUACGUCCAGUUUAGGGAAGAAGACCAAGCGCAGAAUGCGCUACAGAAUCUUGUUGGAAGAUCUUAUGAAGGGCGACCUAUCAUUGCUGACUUCUCUCCUGUGACGGAUUUCCGUGAGGCAACUUGUAGGCAAUAUGAAGAAAAUGUAUGUAAUCGAGGUGGAUACUGCAACUUCAUGCAUCUGAAAAAGAUUAGCAGGGAACUGAGGCAGCAGUUGUUUCGGAAGGGUAGACGAAGGCAUGACCGCAGUAGAAGCAGAAGCCGUAGUCCUCGUCCCCGUGGCUAUGAGGAGCGUCAUGGCUCUGGGAGAAGGGGUGGUGAUAACCGUCACCAUGAUAGAGGCAGAAGACCUCGAAGCAGAAGCCCGGGUCGAAGGAGUGGCCGAAGCAGAAGUCCUGGGGGAAGGAGAAACAGGAGCCCAGUCAGAGAAAGCAGUGCGGAGAGAAGGGCCAAAAUUGAACAGUGGAAUAAGGAAAGGGAGAAUCCUGAACCUGCUAGAGAUCAUAAUAAUAAACCCGAGGAUGGUAACCAUGGCUUUGAACAUAAUGAUGGGCGUUCGCGUUCCUAUGACGACAAUCAGCGUCCAACAGAGCAAGGAAAUGGAGAUUAUGACUUCUAAAUGCUAUGCAGUUAAUCUUGGUUUGUCUCCUUUCUUUGUUUGAUUAUUCCCCCUGUCAUGUAGCUUCUGGCGCUAGACCAUAUACUCUUUUUACUCAUUAACUACGUACUGCCGUGAGAAAAGGCUUACUGCCUAUUUUCACUGUGCAGGUGCGGAUAAUUCACCAUUUUCUCCCUUUCCUCCUUCCAAAGAAAUAGCUAUGUUUAGGAGGAAUAGCAAAUGAACACAGGCACUUGAUUCAACAUUUUUCUUUUAAACAGCCUAAAAAUCCUAAAAUUAGUUUUCAAUUAUGGGAAUAGGCAUGCAUUCCAGCAAACGUUUGGUGAGGCCAAUAAUUAUUCUAGGAAGAGGAAGCUGCUAUAGAAAUCUUAGCAUGUCAUGCACCCCCUUCCCCCUCCUCCAACCCACACACUUAGCAAACACUUCUUUUGCUGAAUCCUGCAUGACUAAACUGAUCAUAUUAUUAUCAGUUGGUGGAGCAGGAUCUGUUUUGUCUUUUCAGAUAGAAAUAACUUGGACUAUGUUUCCUCAAUUAUCUGUGUUCACCUUAGAACUGUUGUUGUUCCUUGACUAUGUUACACUCCCCCCACCCCCACCUCAAUCCUCCCAACCAAUUCCUGGGGUGACUAAUAUAAUAAACAGGGCCGGAUACUCCUGCUGGGGCAUGGUCUUUUUUGUAGCAGCUUAUGUUAAUAUUUGUAUACAGGUUGGCCAGUUUUGACUGCAGAAAAGAUUGCAAGAUGCAGCCAAUAUAUGAUGGCUGAGGAUUAAGUUCUUGUGAUAUCAAUUCGACACAGAAAUGAAGUGGCUUCUUCAGAGCGACUGUCGUGCUAUGUUUAGUUUUUAGAAUUUCAAGCAGCAGUUCUUACUCAGGCAAUGAUUUCCCUUUUCUUUAGAAGAUUAUUGUUUCCUUUUUUUCUUCCUUUUGGAUUCCUUAAGGUGUGUAAUAUUGAAACUCUUACAUUCAUCCUUCUGUUGUGACUAAAUUGAAUCGUGCUUUCACCGUAUUGUUAGUAUUGUGAAAACUUGGGCAACCAAGUUAUUUUGGUA